UACGUAGGGGGCUAGCGUUGUCCGGAUUUAUUGGGCGUAAAGAGCGUGUAGGCGGCCAUGUAGGUCCGGUGUGAAAACUCGAGGCUUAACCUCGAGAUGUCAUCGGAAACCAUUUGGCUAGAGUCCGGAAGAGGAGAGUGGAAUUCCGAGUGUAGAGGUGAAAUUCGUAGAUAUUCGGAGGAACACCAGUGGCGAAGGCGGCUCACUGGUCCGGUACUGACGCUGAGGUGCGAAAGCGUGGGGAGCAAACAGG
rnacentral:rRNA from 1 species